AUGAAAAUAAAAAUUAAAUGGAUAUGUAUAGCAUUUGGAAUACCCACGUAUCAGAAACAUGAAACACAAUACCACUCAGUCUCUCUCUCUCUCUCACUUCCACUUUCCUUUGUUUCGAACAUAUCUCAUCUUCCUCCUCCAUUUCACUUUUCUAAUUCUCUCAAACAAAAAACCCACAACAAAGGUUUAAAGGUGUAUGACGCGGGCUUGUCGGAGUUCAGGGUCGUGGUUGUGGCUGGAUGA